rnacentral:rRNA from 1 species
UAAUAAUAUAAUAAAUUAAAAAUUAAUAUUGCAUAUUAUUAAAAGAAAAUUUUAUAAAAAUAAAAAAUAAAAAUAAAAAGUUGAARUAUUUAAUAUUUUAUUGUUUCACAAUAAAAAUAAAAAUUUUUAGGGUUGAAAAGUCGAUUUUUAURAUAUUUGUAAURAAAUUGUUAUUAGAAAAUUAUAAUAAUAAAUUAURGUUUUACAAAUUUAUAAGUUARAGUAUUAAUGUAACAAGUUUUAUAACUAUUUGUGUCAAUAUAAAAAAUAAUAAAUUAAAAUUUUACUUUAUGCRGUAAAAUAAAAAAUUUUUAAAUUAGUAAAUUAAAAAAUGUAAUUGAUWAUARUAAUUUAACRUAAAAACUUUAAAUUUAAUCAAAUGUUUUUUAAAGACUUAGACUUUUAAGUAAAGUUGGCUUCUGCCCUAUGAAAAAUUAAAUGGCAGUCUUAGCGUGAGGACAUUAAGGUAGCAAAAUAAUUUGUGCUUUUAAUAAGUUCCAGUAUGAAUGAAGUUAUUGGUUAAUGAUUUUUAUGUUUUGUUAGUGAAUUUUUAUGUGUAUAAAAAGUUUAUAUAURUAAUUAAACAAAGAUAAGUCUUUGGAAAUUUUUUUACAAAAUAUGUAUAAUUUUUUGUAAUUUUUUUAGGGUAAAAUAUUAUAUAAUAAUUUUUAUCUAAUUAUAAUAUAAAAAAUUACUCCAGAGUUAACAGAAAAUCAUAUUUAAUCCAGAUGUUAUGGUAAAAUAAGUUUUACAUCGAUGUUGUAUUUAAAUUAAUUAAAAAAGGAGAAAUUUUAAUUAUUUAGACUGUUCUUCUAUUAUUUAAUUUAACGUGAUAUUAGUUUAAUUCAUUGUAAAAUAGAAUUGUUUAUCUUGUUAAUUAUUAAAAAAUAAAAUUUUUAGUACGAAAGGAAAAAAAUAAAAACUUUAAGUUUUAACAUUUAUAUGUURUUG